GCCUAAGACAUGCAAGUCGAACGAAGAAGAUUUAGAUUUAUCUAAUGAUUCUUAGUGGCGAACGGGUGAGUAUAAAGCAGAUAAUCUACCGUAAAGAUGGGGAUAACAUUUGGAAACGAAUGAUAAUACCGAAUAGUACAUGACUUGACAUCGAGUUAUGUUUAAAGAUGCGCUUGCAUCGCUUUGAGGAGUCUGCUCCGUAUUAGCUAGUUGGUGAGGUAAUGGCUCACCAAGGCAACGAUGCGUAGCCGAGCUGAGAGGCUGAUC
rnacentral:rRNA from 1 species